AGGCUAACCGUAAGGAGGCCGCUUACCACGGUGGGAUUCAUGACUGGGGUGAAGUCGUAACAAGGUAGCCGUAGGGGAACCUGCGGCUGGAUCACCUCCUUU
rnacentral:rRNA from 1 species